rnacentral:rRNA from 1 species
AACCGAGAACUCCUACGGGAGGCAGCAGUGGGGAAUUUUGGACAAUGGGGGCAACCCUGAUCCAGCAAUGCCGCGUGAGUGAAGAAGGCCUUCGGGUUGUAAAGCUCUUUUGUCAGGGAAGAAACGGUAGUAGCUAAUAUCUAUUACUAAUGACGGUACCUGAAGAAUAAGCACCGGCUAACUACGUGCCAGCAGCCGCGGUAAUACGUAGGGUGCAAGCGUUAAUCGGAAUUACUGGGCGUAAAGCGUGCGCAGGCGGUUGUGUAAGUCAGAUGUGAAAUCCCCGGGCUCAACCUGGGAAUUGCAUUUGAGACUGCACGGCUAGAGGGUGUCAGGGGGGGGUAGAAUCCCACGUGUAGCAGUGAAAUGCGUAGAGAUGUGGAGGAAUACCGAUGGCGAAGGCAGCCCCCUGGGAUAACACUGACGCUCAUGCACGAAAGCGUGGGGAGCAAACAGGAUUAGAUACCCCUGUAGUCCGACUGAGA